ACGAGGAGUGGAGUACGGAGUUGGCCAACAAAUUUUCUAUAUUGAAUUAGAGAAAAAAAAAGUAUAGAAUUUCUGUUUUCCUAGUCCACAGAGACGUCAACUGUUUAAGUGGGGGAGAAUGUCAUGGUCAUACUUGUCCAAGGCGUGUUUGUCUAUGGUCGUAUGCCCGAUUACCUCCAAUUUAUAUUAUCUUUAUGUCUUGUAUUUAGUUUAGCUAGUUGCUUUCCAUUUUAAGUUAUAAAGUUUGGGUGUGACAUUUCGGCAUUUUCAUAUGCAAGUCUAUCAGAGCUGAAAAUGUUUAAAAUGUACUAUAGAGGAGAUAUACUAUUUGAAUCCCUGUCCAAGUAUUGUCG
rnacentral:lncRNA from 1 species